UGGGGAAUUUUGCACAAUGGGGGAAACCCUGAUGCAGUGACGCCGCGUGAUUUAGAAGGCCUUCGGGUUGUAAAAAUCUUUUCUAUGGGAAGAAAAUGACAGUACCAUAGGAAUAAGGACCGGCUAAUUACGUGCCAGCAGCCGCGGUAAUACAUAAGGUCCGAGCGUUGUCCGGAAUCAUUGGGCGUAAAGGGUACGUAGGCGGGUAAGCAAGUUAGAAGUGAAAUCCUAUAGCUCAACUAUAGUAAGCUUUUAAAACUGCUCAUCUUGAGGUAUGGAAGGGAAAGUGGAAUUCCUAGUGUAGCGGUGAAAUGCGCAGAUAUUAGGAGGAAUACCGGUGGCGAAGGCGACUUUCUGGCCAUAACCUGACGCUGAGGUACGAAAGCGUGGGUAGCAAACAGG
rnacentral:rRNA from 1 species